ACGCUGGCGGCGUGCCUAAUACAUGCAAGUAGAACGCUGAAGAGAGGAGCUUGCUCUUCUUGGAUGAGUUGCGAACGGGUGAGUAACGCGUAGGUAACCUGCCUUGUAGCGGGGGAUAACUAUUGGAAACGAUAGCUAAUACCGCAUAACAAUGGAUGACACAUGUCAUUUAUUUGAAAGGGGCAAUUGCUCCACUACAAGAUGGACCUGCGUUGUAUUAGCUAGUAGGUGAGGUAACGGCUCACCUAGGCGACGAUACAUAGCCGACCUGAGAGGGUGAUCGGCCACACUGGGACUGAGACACGGCCCAGACUCCUACGGGAGGCAGCAGUAGGGAAUCUUCGGCAAUGGGGGCAACCCUGACCGAGCAACGCCGCGUGAGUGAAGAAGGUUUUCGGAUCGUAAAGCUCUGUUGUAAGUCAAGAACGAGUGUGAGAGUGGAAAGUUCACACUGUGACGGUAGCUUACCAGAAAGGGACGGCUAACAACGUGCCAGCAGCCGCGGUAAUACGUAGGUCCCGAGCGUUGUCCGGAUUUAUUGGGCGUAAAGCGAGCGCAGGCGGUUUGAUAAGUCUGAAGUUAAAGGCUGUGGCUCAACCAUAGUUCGCUUUGGAAACUGUCAAACUUGAGUGCAGAAGGGGAGAGUGGAAUUCCAUGUGUAGCGGUGAAAUGCGUAGAUAUAUGGAGGAACACCGGUGGCGAAAGCGGCUCUCUGGUCUGUAACUGACGCUGAGGCUCGAAAGCGUGGGGAGCGAACAGGAUUAGAUACCCUGGUAGUCCACGCCGUAAACGAUGAGUGCUAGGUGUUGGAUCCUUUCCGGGAUUCAGUGCCGCAGCUAACGCAUUAAGCACUCCGCCUGGGGAGUACGACCGCAAGGUUGAAACUCAAAGGAAUUGACGGGGGCCCGCACAA
rnacentral:rRNA from 1 species